rnacentral:lncRNA from 1 species
GGGUUAAAAUUUAACCCCCUCCUCUCAAACACCUCCUUAAUCUACUCCGAUGCUAUGGAGGAAUAAAGAGCGAAGAACUUGGGCACCUCGCCAAUUGGCAACAAAAACAACUGGAAAGAGGAAAAAACAGGUCUGAAGGGGGCGACCAAAAGCAAAGCAGGGAGCAGCAGCAUCGAGCGAAAGCGACCCGGCGCCCGGUCCAUACGUCAUCUCAAUUCGCAUCCUUUGACUCUCCUACCCUUUCCACGCCCCCUGCUUCUCUUCUUCCUCUUUGUGUGUUUUUUCCCUUAUUUCGUUUCGCACCCUCGGAGACUGAAUAUUUGCACUUCCCAUGGUGUUUGUGAGGUUUGAAUUUAGCUUCAGCUCCGAUCUUCUUCUAUAGCUGUGUCCCCG